rnacentral:lncRNA from 1 species
UUUUUGUUUUUUCUUUUGAAUUAAAUACUUAGUUUUUUUUCUGUUUUUUUCUGUUGAAUUAGAUAGUUGGUUUAUUAGGUAAAAAAAGUAGAUAGAAAAAAAAUAGAUAGAAAAUGAAAAACUUAGAAGAAAAUAAGAGACGAAAAAACUAGAAGAAAAAAUAAGAAGAAGUAGAAGAAGAGGAAGAAGAAGAAGAAAGAGGACAGGAGGAGAAAGAGAAAAGAAAGAAAGAAAGAAGAACAAGAAGAAAAAGAAGAAGAAGAAAAAGAGGAGAGAGGAGAAGAAGAAAGAAGAGGAAAAGGAAAAGAAGGAAGAAGAAGAAGACACCCUGACACCACGACACGAUGCCCCGACACCGCGACACGAUGCCCCAACACCCCGACACGACGCACCGAC